AGAUGGGUUAUUUUUUUAACCCAAUAGAUGGGUUACACAUAUUGGGUCACUGUGUUGGGUUAUUUUCUAAAACGUUGGGUUAUUUUUUUAAACAUCGUUGGGUUGUUUUUAAUAAUAACCCAGCGUUGGGUUUAAUUGGUUCCCGCCGCGACAGUUCAAAUUUUAACGGUCGACGGUGUCUGACGACAGAAGAAGCUGCUGCUGCAUCAGUGUGAGACAUUGGGUGAAGGGACAACUACAACAGUGGAAUCUCAUACAUUAAACAUCCACAUGCCAAUUAACUGAAAUAUUUCAAGAGGAAGGAGUCAAUGAAGGAAGUUUUAUGCAACCGGAUGACACCAGCAUUGCUGCACUAACUCUAAGAACUCCUCCCAAGUUUUGAGCAUUUUCAACGGUGAAGCAGUGGAACAGAAGACCUUACUACAAGCAGUGGAUCUGUGUUUCAAACAUUUCUACAUGUAUGACAUCAACUACCCAAAGCCCCCUGCACUCAUUUGCAGCUUUAAUAUUCCAGGAGUUCCUUCAACACGUUACCUCUUCCUUAGAAACUUUGUAUUUAUUGAUCAGUAAAAACUUUUUAUGUUGCUGAUUAUCAGCAAGUCCAGCAGCCAGCAGAUUUACUUAGUUUUAUUUUUAUUAUUGUUAUUAUUAUUAUUAUUAUGAUUAUUAUUACUUGUGUUUAUGAUUUUUUAUUUUUGUUUUAUUGAUAAAGGUUUGUAUGUUAUGUUUGUUUUAUUUUUGCACAUUUGUAUGUGUUGAUAUAAAUAAAUAUGAAUUGAUACACAUUUAUGACCCUGGACAACAAAACCAGUCAUAAGUAUUAUGGGUACAUUUGCAGAAAUAGCCAAAAUUGCAUUGCAUGGGUCAAAAUUAUCAAAUUUUCUUUCAUGCCAAAAAUCAUUAGAACAUUAAGUAAAGAUCAUGUUCCAUGAAGAUAUCUCCUACCAUAAGUAUAUCGAAACUGAAUGUAUUGCUAAUGUAUUGCUAUGUAUUGCUAAUAACUUUGCAAUUUUCUCAAUAUUUAGAUUUUUUUGCACCCUCAGAUUCCAGAUUUUCAAAUAGUUGUUCUAUCCUAUCAAACCACAUAUUAAUAGAAAGCUUAUUUAUUGAGCUUUCAGAUGAUGUUUACAUUUA